rnacentral:rRNA from 1 species
GACGAACGCUGGCGGCGCGCUUAACACAUGCAAGUCGAACGGAAAGGCCUGCUUUCCCUUGUGGAUUGCGGGUACUCGAGUGGCGAACGGGUGAGUAACACGUGAGUGAUCUGCCCCCAACUUGGGUAUAAGCCUGGGAAACUGGGUCUAAUUCCCGAUAGGACUGCAGGGUGGUGCCUGUGGUGGAAAACGAUUUUCUAGUGGUUGGGGAUGAGCUCGCGGCCUAUCAGCUUGUUGGUGGGGUAAUGGCCUACCAAGGCGGCGACGGGUAGCCGGCCUGGGGGGGUGGACGGGCACAUUGGGACUGAGAUACGGCCCAGACGCCUACGGGAGGCAGCAGUGGGGAAUAUUGCACAAUGGGCGGAAGCCUGAUGCAGCGACGCCGCGUGGGGGAUGACGGCCUUCGGGUUGUAAACUCCUUUCGACCGCGAGGAAGCCACCUGGUUGGAAGGGUGGUGACGGUAGUGGUAGAAGAAGCACCGGCUAACUACGUG